rnacentral:rRNA from 1 species
CAUGCCGCGUGAGUGAAGAAGGCCUUCGGGUUGUAAAGCUCUUUCAKCCGGGAAGAAAAUGCAUGURYUAAUACCCUGUKCKSAUGACGGUACCKGAAUAAAAAGCACCGGCUAACUACGUGCCAGCAGCCGCGGUAAUACGUAGGGUGCGAGCGUUAUUCGGAAUUACUGGGCGUAAAGCGUGCGCAGGCGGUUUUGUAAGACAGGYGUGAAAUCCCCGGGCUUAACCUGGGAACUGCGUUUGUGACUGCMAGGCUAGAGUACGGGAGAGGGGGGUGGAAUUCCCCGUGUAGCAGUGAAAUGCGUAGAGAUGUGGAGGAACACCAAUGGCGAAGGCAGCCCCCUGGGUCUAUACUGACGCUCAUGCACGAAAGCGUGGGUAGCAAACAGGAUUAGAUACCCUGGUAGUCCACGCCCUAAACGAUGUCAACUAGGUGUUGGGAGGGU